rnacentral:rRNA from 1 species
UACGGAGGAUCCGAGCGUUAUCCGGAUUUAUUGGGUUUAAAGGGUGCGCAGGCGGGAGAUUAAGUCGGCGGUGAAAUUUUGCAGCUCAACUGUAAAAGUGCCUUCGAAACUGGUUUCCUUGAGUGUGGAUGAAGUAGGCGGAAUUUGUGGUGUAGCGGUGAAAUGCAUAGAUAUCACGAGGAACUCCGAUUGCGCAGGCAGCUUACUAAACUACUACUGACGCUCAGGCACGAAGGCGUGGGGAUCAAACAGGAUUAGAUACCCCUGUA